AUGAACGAAGAAAAAGAUGAUUAGAUAGAAGUUUCGGUGAUGUUCCAACGCUCAGGCGUUAAACACAGACCGGAAAGACGAGAUAAAGAAGCAAGGGACGUUUCGUAUUUCCAUUGAUGAUGCUGACAU
rnacentral:snoRNA from 14 species